AACGAACGCUGGCGGCAUGCCUAACACAUGCAAGUCGAACGAGACCUUCGGGUCUAGUGGCGCACGGGUGCGUAACGCGUGGGAACCUGCCCUUAGGUUCGGAAUACUUCCCGGAAGGGGGUGUUAAAACGGGUAAAUGUCUUCGGCCAAAAGAUUUAUCGCCUUUGGAUGGGCCCGCGUUGGAUUAGCUAGUUGGUAGGGUAAAAGCCUACCAAGGCGACGAUCCAUAGCUGGUCUGAGAGGAUGAUCAGCCACACUGGGACUGAGACACGGCCCAGACUCCUACGGGAGGCAGCAGUGGGGAAUAUUGGACAAUGGGCGAAAGCCUGAUCCAGCAAUGCCGCGUGAGUGAUGAAGGCCUUAGGGUUGUAAAGCUCUUUUACCCGGGAUGAUAAUGACAGUACCGGGAGAAUAAGCUCCGGCUAACUCCGUG
rnacentral:rRNA from 1 species